rnacentral:rRNA from 1 species
UACGUAGGGGGCAAGCGUUGUCCGGAUUUAUUGGGCGUAAAGAGCGUGUAGGCGGUUCGGUAGGUCCGUUGUGAAAACUCGAGCUCAACCUCGAGACGCCGAUGGAACCCCCGAACUAGAGUCCGGAAGAGGAGAAUGGAAUCCUGGUGUAGCGGUGAAAUGCGCAGAUAUCAGGAAGAACACCCGUGGCUAAGGCGGUUCUCUAGUACGGUACUGACGCUGAGAACGCGAAAGCGUGGGGGAGCGAACAGG